CCUACGGGAGGCAGCAGUAGGGAAUCUUCCACAAUGGACGAAAGUCUGAUGGAGCAACGCCGCGUGAGUGAAGAAGGGUUUCGGCUCGUAAAGCUGUGUUGGUAGUGAAGAAAGAUAGAGGUAGUAACUGGCCUUUAUUUGACGGUAAUUACUUAGAAAGUCACGGCUAACUACGUGCCAGCAGCCGCGGUAAUACGUAGGUGGCAAGCGUUGUCCGGAUUUAUUGGGCGUAAAGCGAGUGCAGGCGGUUCAAUAAGUCUGAUGUGAAAGCCUUCGGCUCAACCGGAGAAUUGCAUCAGAUACUGUUGAGCUUGAGAGUAGAUGCGGAGAGUGGAACUCAAGGUGUAGCGGUGGAAUGCGUAGAUAUA
rnacentral:rRNA from 1 species